ensembl:miRNA
GCUAAGCACUUACAACUGUUUGCAGAGGAAACUGAGACCUUGUAGCUAUGUCUCAGUCUCAUCUACAAAGAAGUAAGUGCUUUGC